CAGUAGCCACGGUAAUACAGAGGGUGCAAGCGUUAAUCGGAAUUACUGGGCGUAAAGCGCGCGUAGGUGGUUCGCCAAGUUGGAUGUGAAAUCCCCGGGCUCAACCUGGGAACUGCAUCCAAAACUGGCGAGCUAGAGUAUGGUAGAGGGCGGUGGAAUUUCCUGUGUAGCGGUGAAAUGCGUAGAUAUAGGAAGGAACAUCAGUGGCGAAGGCGACCACCUGGACUGAUACUGACACUGAGGUGCGAAAGCGUGGGGAGCAAACAGGAUUAGAUACCCGGGUAGUCCCUGUCUCUUAUAC
rnacentral:rRNA from 1 species